GAUGAACGCUGGCGGCGUGCCUAAUACAUGCAAGUCGAGCGAACGGACGAGAAGCUUGCUUCUCUGAUGUUAGCGGCGGACGGGUGAGUAACACGUGGAUAACCUACCUAUAAGACUGGGAUAACUUCGGGAAACCGGAGCUAAUACCGGAUAAUAUUUUGAACCGCAUGGUUCAAAAGUGAAAGACGGUCUUGCUGUCACUUAUAGAUGGAUCCGCGCUGCAUUAGCUAGUUGGUAAGGUAACGGCUUACCAAGGCAACGAUGCAUAGCCGACCUGAGAGGGUGAUCGGCCACACUGGAACUGAGACACGGUCCAGACUCCUACGGGAGGCAGCAGUAGGGAAUCUUCCGCAAUGGGCGAAAGCCUGACGGAGCAACGCCGCGUGAGUGAUGAAGGUCUUCGGAUCGUAAAACUCUGUUAUUAGGGAAGAACAUAUGUGUAAGUAACUGUGCACAUCUUGACGGUACCUAAUCAGAAAGCCACGGCUAACUACGUGCCAGCAGCCGCGGUAAUACGUAGGUGGCAAGCGUUAUCCGGAAUUAUUGGGCGUAAAGCGCGCGUAGGCGGUUUUUUAGUCUGAUGUGAAAGCCCACGGCUCAACCGUGGAGGGUCAUUGGAAACUGGAAAACUUGAGUGCAGAAGAGGAAAGUGGAAUUCCAUGUGUAGCGGUGAAAUGCGCAGAGAUAUGGAGGAACACCAGUGGCGAAGGCGACUUUCUGGUCUGUAACUGACGCUGAUGUGCGAAAGCGUGGGGAUCAAACAGGAUUAGAUACCCUGGUAGUCCGCGCCGUAAACGAUGAGUGCUAAGUGUUAGGGGGUUUCCGCCCCUUAGUGCUGCAGCUAACGCAUUAAGCACUCCGCCUGGGGAGUACGACCGCAAGGUUGAAACUCAAAGGAAUUGACGGGGACCCGCACAAGCGGUGGAGCAUGUGGUUUAAUUCGAAGCAACGCGAAGAACCUUACCAAAUCUUGACAUCCUUUGACAACUCUAGAGAUAGAGCCUUCCCCUUCGGGGGACAAAGUGACAGGUAGUGCAUGGUUGUCGUCAGCUCGUGUCGUGAGAUGUUGGGUUAAGUCCCGCAACGAGCGCAACCCUUAAGCUUAGUUGCCAUCAUUAAGUUGGGCACUCUAAGUUGACUGCCGGUGACAAACCGGAGGAAGGUGGGGAUGACGUCAAAUCAUCAUGCCCCUUAUGAUUUGGGCUACACACGUGCUACAAUGGACAAUACAAAGGGCAGCGAAACCGCGAGGUCAAGCAAAUCCCAUAAAGUUGUUCUCAGUUCGGAUUGUAGUCUGCAACUCGACUACAUGAAGCUGGAAUCGCUAGUAAUCGUAGAUCAGCAUGCUACGGUGAAUACGUUCCCGGGUCU
rnacentral:rRNA from 1 species